AUGCAACCGAACAAUAAAUUGCUCUAAAAGUAGCACUUAUGUAGCCCUCCCGAUCUGGAUAUAUAAGUGCUACUUUUAGAGCAGUUUAUUGUUGA
rnacentral:pre_miRNA from 1 species